CAUGCGCGCAUUCUGGAGAGACAGCAGUCUGGACAUGAUUUACUGAAAGUGUCACAGAAACAAGUGGCAAAUACUAAUCUACAUUAUUCUGAUGUACAUUGGAGUAUGAUGCCAGUGAGCCCAAUGAGAGCAAAGGGAGCACGGACACAUGGGAACUGCACACUCUGUAUGUAAGAAGAGACACACUGGGAAAUGAGGUCCCAGCGAGUGGAAUUGGAGCAGGCAAACAUCACCUGGUGAUCUAGAUGGCAAACCAUCCAGAUUUCCAAAGAAUUGGAUGGCAGAAUAUCAGAAUUUUAUUUAUAUCAUGUCAUUUUUGGUAAUUGCAAAUAAGUAACGUGUGCAUCACCACUGUGUUUCAAUGUUCAUAAUUGUUUAAUCAUAACUUCAUAAUAAAGUUGAGGAAGA